rnacentral:rRNA from 1 species
GCUAAGGAUCAACCGGUACAGGUUUCGACC